UACUUUGAUUCUCUGAAUGGCCUAAGCGCGUAUAACUUCAGCGUACCUAGUACAUUACAUUUAUGUACGUACGUACGUACGUGGAGUACGGGAGUUAGUGUACUUGUGUUUUGUAAAUAUAUAUUAGGCAGGUACUACAGUACUUUAGACACAAAGUUGCAUCACAUUCAAAGUAUUUUUCGUUCGUGCUUAACUGCCUUUUUUUUUCUGGAUAAGUAUUUGUUUAUAUUUGAAAAUAUUACUGUUUAACAUACCUAUGUUCAAUCAAGUCAUUGAGAUUCUGAUCCAGUAAAAGUAGGUACCUAAGUGUUUUCAAUUGCAAACAGUUACUAAAGACACCGUUUAAACAUCAAUCUAAGAGAGUUUUCUUUUCACAGAUCAAAUUCCUACCAAUAGUAGACACUAGGUAUCGGUCAGCAAUCUUUUAAAGAUGGGAGUAAUCAAAGUACUAUGUGGAUUAGUAGUCAUCAAAGUACUACUUGGAUUGGGAACCGCAGUACUAUGUGGAUUAUUGGGAGCCAUCAAUUCAGUACUAUUAAGGGUUAUAAAUUACAACCACCUCUGGGAAUUUUCAUAUACAAUCAGCCGUAAUGAGAUAAAUCCAGAUGACGGAAGAAAAGAAACUAUUACAGAAACCGGCCGUAUAUCAUAUGUACUUGUACUGCUUAUACCUGUACUGUUCAUACAUGUACUAGACCUAGCAUUGCAAUACUUGGACUACAUUGCACUGUUCGUAAUCAUAUUUGUACUAGUCCCAGCAUUUGCACACUGUGGGCCAGUUGUACACCUCUCGAUCAAAUUCUGAUCUAUAGUAAGUUUACCUAACUCAUUGUUUUUGACCAGUUAAACUCAGUUCAACAUCUUGAGCAAGAGUCAUACAAUCCACCCUUUCGUCAACCUUUUUUACAUUAACUAUAAAAGAAACCGCAAUUACCCUCUCGAUCAUCAUCGUUGUUUUCAUUUUAAGAUUUCAUUUUUAUUAAUUUUUGCCAUUUUGUUUUUAUUUUAUGGACACAGCCUUUAUAUGUGAUAUUUACCUACAAGUAAAAUGUAUGAAACGUUAA